AGAGUUUGAUCCUGGCUCAGAUUGAACGCUGGCGGCAUGCCUUACACAUGCAAGUCGAACGGCAGCACGGGAGCAAUCCUGGUGGCGAGUGGCGAACGGGUGAGUAAAGUAUCGGAACGUGCCCAGUCGUGGGGGAUAACGUAGCGAAAGCUACGCUAAUACCGCAUACGAUCUAUGGAUGAAAGCGGGGGAUCGCAAGACCUCGCGCGAUUGGAGCGGCCGAUAUCAGAUUAGGUAGUUGGUGGGGUAAAGGCCUACCAAGCCGACGAUCUGUAGCUGGUCUGAGAGGACGACCAGCCACACUGGGACUGAGACACGGCCCAGACUCCUACGGGAGGCAGCAGUGGGGAAUUUUGGACAAUGGGCGCAAGCCUGAUCCAGCAAUGCCGCGUGCAGGAUGAAGGCCUUCGGGUUGUAAACUGCUUUUGUACGGAGCGAAAAGGCUUCCACUAAUACUGGAGGCUCAUGACGGUACCGUAAGAAUAAGCACCGGCUAACUACGUGCCAGCAGCCGCGGUAAUACGUAGGGUGCAAGCGUUAAUCGGAAUUACUGGGCGUAAAGCGUGCGCAGGCGGUCUUGUAAGACAGGUGUGAAAUCCCCGGGCUUAACCUGGGAACUGCACUUGUGACUGCAAGGCUGGAGUACGGCAGAGGGGGAUGGAAUUCCGCGUGUAGCAGUGAAAUGCGUAGAUAUGCGGAGGAACACCGAUGGCGAAGGCAAUCCCCUGGGCCUGUACUGACGCUCAUGCACGAAAGCGU
rnacentral:rRNA from 1 species